rnacentral:rRNA from 1 species
GACGAACGCUGGCGGCGUGCUUAACACAUGCAAGUCGAACGGAAAGGCCCUGCUUUUGUGGGGUGCUCGAGUGGCGAACGGGUGAGUAACACGUGAGUAACCUGUCCCUGACUUUGGGAUAUCUUCAGGAAACUGGGGCUCAUACCGGAUAGGAGCUCUUGCUGCAUGGUGGGGGUUGGUAAGUUUCGGUGGUUGGGGAUGGACUGGCGGCUUAUCAGCUUGUUGGUGGGGUAGUGGCUGACCAAGGCUAUGACGGGUAGCCGGCCUGGGAGGGUGACCGGCCACAUUGGGACUGAGAUACGGCCCAGACUCCUACGGGAGGCAGCAGUGGGGAGGAUUACACAGUGGGCGGAAGCGUGAUGCAGCAACGCCGCGUGCGGGAAGACGGCCUUCGGGUUGUAAACCGAUUUCGCCUGUGACGAAGCGUGAGUGACGGUAAUGGGUAAAGAAGCACCGGCUAACUACGUG